ACUUGAAAAUUUAGGGGAAAAAAGUCUAAACUCACCCUAGAGAAUUUCACUGAUUUAAUUGAAUUUGUGAAACAAAAGUAAUUUAAAUGAAUAAAUGUCUUGAAGAAGGACACUGUACUGCACAUGAAGUUCUGUGAAGUUAGAAGGGUGCUGUCCUGCACAGUGUCAGCAAUUGCAUUUCUGCCACAAUUCUCAAUCAGCUGAAUAGAAAUAUUGCCAAGUUGGAUGCAUAGAGGUUUGUGAUGCUGAAAUCCUAUAUUUGUAUUUUCUGCUGGCUCUUGAUUGUUUUUUCUUAUUAUACAUGUUCAGAUAACUCAUGGUGUAAAGAACAGUGUAGCAUGAUAGAAUCAGAAACUUUCAUUGGACUUAGGGGAUUUUCCCCCCUCUCUUCUGUUGACUUCUAUUUAAAGUGCAAUUAUUUUCCAUUUUGAUUAUGUUCUGUAAUAAUGCUCAUUGGCAAUUCUGCCCUUGGUUAGUGUAAACAAUUCAUCUUCAUAAUACAGAAGAUAACUGAAUCCAAAACAAAAUAAUUGUGUCACUUUUAAAUGACAAGUGGACAGACUGCUCUGUGGGGUUUUGUUUGGGACAAGAAUGAAAGCUGUAGAAAGUACAGGCAGUUUUCUAAGUGGCAAGGUCAGGAAAAGUCACAUUGCCAGUGACUGUAUAAACUAAAAAGCAAGUGAUUACCUGGAUUUUUUUUUUUCCAGGUGUUCUUUAGGCAUUCAGCAUUUUGCAAGAAUGACUCCUUAAAAGUGCUGCUUCUCUUUCUUACAUUUGAUAUAACUUCUUCUUUCUUCUAGAUACUCUACAUUUACGAAGCAUUUGGUAAUGAUACUGUCAGCACCUGUCAGCACCACCAAAAAAUCAUCAGAGUAAAGUUUUACUGAAUGACAACAGCGUUUCCUGUACUUAAUGUCUCUGUUUACAGUUAUUUUCCCUGUGUUUCUGUACUUGCUCCCUCCUUUUUUAAUAAUUAGAUAGGUGCAGAUUUUAAGAUAUACUUAAGAUGUCUAAUUCUCGUUGCUGCUGAAACUACCUGGCAGUUACCUCUUCGUACUUUAGAUUUUGCGCACAGGUUUACACAGAUGUAUUUUGUUUUCUCACAAGGGCUUUUUAGCCCUUUUUUUACUUUUGUAAAGGCUACUCCUAUGCAAGGGAUUGCAUACUUCCAUAAAAAUACAGAAAUCAAUAUAAGGAGAUUUGUAGUUUAUUCAAUGAUGGGCUUAUACUUUUCAUCAAAGAAUCUGCCUGUAAUUAUGCUUUGUGUACAUAGAAUUGCCGUCUCCAGUUGCCAUGGUUCUAACCUCUGUUACUAUUGCUAGUAGCUAUGGGUUUCUUUUUCCUUUCAGCUUGAUGUUUUAGCAACUGAGACAGAUAGGUGCAGUGUAAGGGUUAGGAAAGAGUCUUUUUCCACUAGUAUUCUUGGAUGAAAAUACUCAGACAUAGUCCAUACAAAAUACUCCUUUAUUCAAGUGGUCUGAGUCAGAACACAUUUGCUUUCUCCUGUAUCCUGAAUACUCUCAGGGAAGCAGUGAGCAGGCAUUAGAACCUACAAGGAGGAAGUCCUACUCCCUCCAGUUUGAAAACUGCAGAAGGAGCGUUCAUACAUCCUUCAACCAGGGAGGAUGGUGGAUGAAAGCCUGAUUAGGUCUUUUAUGUGGGAAAUGCAUUCCAGUACCACUAUAUCAGCACGAUAGUCUUGCAUUAACUACUGAGCUCUUUUGGUAGUUUUAAGUAGCAUAUUUCAUGAACUUUGCUUAAUACCAGGUGAAGUUCUGGUUUUGUAUUCAAUGUUGUUUUUUAAGUUACAUACAGUAAAUCUAACUUGAAAUCAUUUCUUCUUCUGUUCCAGGUGAAUUGUAUAAAUAACAAUAUGAGAAGAUGUGGGUAUGAGGCAGUGGGAGACAUUUCAAUCAAGAAUUUUUCUUUCUUUUCUGUCAGGUCAUGAAUCUAUGAAGCAUCACAACAAGAGAAGAUAACGAUGAAACCCCUGGAGAUGGAAAUGUCAUUAUUUCUAGGUCUUGUUUCUGUUGCUGUUACAAGUCAGACUCCUGCCAAGUGGUAUAUAAGCGAUUCAGGUGCUGGGAGAGAGGCAGCUUACAUCACCAGAGCAACCUCAGUGUCCAAAGUGGAAGAACCCAAGGGAGAAUUUGUAUCACAAGGUGACCUUGAGGAACAGCAAGCAUUGUGGAAAAAAAGUACUAAACAUCAGUCCAAUGCAUGUGUUGAAGAAACUCCCCACAUCUGCAAGAUGAGUCCCAAAAGGUAUUGAAGAAUGUACAGCAUUAAUAAAUCUCAGUCCUGUGAGAUCUCAUCGACCCUAGAAACACAUAUUCGAGCCAAGCUGAAAGGUCUCUAGGUAUGAACCAUGACCUCCACACUUCAUGAACACUGGUUAGCUGUAUGUAGUAAUACAUACUGUAUUUCCAUUCUCUUUUGCUGCCAAAAUUAAGAAAGACAUUCUCAAU